GGCCCCUGCAGGGUCAAGGGCAAAUUGCCCCACUUGCCCUCCCCGCCCCGGGCAGCCCCGGAACCCUGUGGUUCUACCACUCUCACCUGGAUCCUGGAGUGACAGCCCAUCUCCAAUCAUGUUAACUCAAGACACCCGACUGUAAUUGGUACUUGCAAGAAGCUUUCCAUAAAUCCUGUAACCAGCAGCUGAAUGAUUAAAGUGAUUGAUUAAACAGCUUCUUCCAAACAGACAAAUUGUCUAUUCGCCCAAGAGCAGAGAAAAGGGUUAAAGCUACACAAACUCUGUAUGCUUGGGUCUUAUUUGGAACUCUUAGCUGCCUUUGACAUUGCACUGGGCCUGCGUCCCAGGCUGACUGCUCUUCACGAACAGCCCUUGACCAGUGAAGCCCCUUCCAUCUUUAAAGGAAGAUUUUAACUAUUUAGUGCCCCUUUUAUCUUGGGACCCCAGCCUUGGUGAGCCAGGUGUGCAAUUUUGCCAGGCUCCUGGAAGCAGCAUCUUCCCAAUUGAUAGCCCAGCCACUAUUCCCUUACCUCCCAUGAAGUCUUAUCUUGUCACUGGCCGUUGUUUUGUUUCCUGCUUGCUCUUUCUAAGAGCUCCUUUUGGUUUAACUCCCCAAGACAGACUAAGCAAUAUCAAGCAGGUAAAAAGAAAGCUCUUCCACUUUCUCCAUGACAAAUAUCACACAAUAAGAUGUUCAUGCCUUGAACAUAUUUUUUUCUAGGUCACUUUAUUGUUUAAAAUAUUAGCACACUUGAUCUUCAAUUUAUUUUUGUACCACUCAUGAAAUACGGUGAGAAACGUACUGCAUUUUACAGUAUACACCUCUGCAACUCUAAAUACUACUUUCCCCCAACGGGCAAAGUAAAAAAGAUAACAUAAAACCCCAAGACUAUUUAAGGCAGUGAAAGGAAUUGGACCAAUGCGGGUGUCCUUGUGACCAUUUCACUUCCUCUCAGGAUACCUUUUUCCCCUCACAGCUAAGCAACUUAAAACUUGAGCAUUCAGCUUAAGCUAUAUUUAGUAGGUCAAAGAAAACAUGGUCUCUCUACACCAAUGCAAGUUUCUUAAUUCCAAUACAUAAGAUACUCAUAGCAUCUUAAGUUUUCCACUAAGUGUAGGUGUUGUGCUGUAACUUGAUACGUGUACAAAUAUCUCAAAAAUAGCCCUUCCCUCCCCAACCCAAAUGGAAUGUUAAUAACUGACAGUUUAAAUAAAUAGCAAAAAUAACUGGCAACAUCUAACUCCUACCUUGAUUCUAGCUCAAAUCACUGAAAUAAAUACAAAAUGAAUCAUUGGUUUGUUGAGACACUAAGGAAGCUUACUAUAUUUAUAAAAAUAAACCAGUGGAAGACAGUAAUUUUUCUUAUUCUGUCCCACAUAGAUUACACUAUAUUGCUACAGCUGAGAAGGCUCAUAACACGUCACACCUUUGUAGUGUACCUCUUUUUGACAGCUUCAGGAAAAUUAGUUGGCACUUCUUUUCUUGUGCUUUUCAAACACAGAUUUGCAAAGGAAAAUAAUGCCAUAUAACUGAAGUCACUGAUUUAAAAUUAAACCACCUUUAUAUUAGAGAGAGAGAGAGCGAGCUGAAAUAUAUAUAUAGCACAGAAGAAGGAAAUGCAAGGCAGAUAAAGGACUGGAUUUUCAUUUUUGAAAGUUUGUUAUAUGGCAAGUUUUUGUUUCAUAACUGCAAAAUAAGUUAAUACAAAAUAAGGGUUUGUAUAACCAAAACCACUGUUACUGCAUAAACCUUUUCAACUGCUGCACAAAAAGGCUUAAUUUCAAUACCUAAAAAUAGUUUAAACAGUUUGGAUCAUUUUCUGAAUAUGAAAA